AUACGUAGGGGGCAAGCGUUGUCCGGAAUGACUGGGCGUAAAGGGCGUGUAGGCGGUUUUUUAAGUCUGGAGUGAAAGUCCUGCUUUCAAGGUGGGAAUUGCUUUGGAAACUGGAGAACUUGAGUGCGGAAGAGGUAAGUGGAAUUCCCAGUGUAGCGGUGAAAUGCGUAAAGAUUGGGAAGAACACCAGUGGCGAAGGCGACUUACUGGGCCGUAACUGACGCUGAUGCGCGAAAGCGUGGGGAGC
rnacentral:rRNA from 1 species